rnacentral:rRNA from 1 species
UACGUAGGGCGCGAGCGUUGUCCGGAUUUAUUGGGCGUAAAGAGCUCGUAGGCGGUGUGUCGCGUCGGCCGUGAAAACCUGCAGCUUAACUGUGGGCUUGCGGUCGAUACGGGCAUCACUGGAGUUCGGCAGGGGAGACUGGAAUUCCUGGUGUAGCGGUGAAAUGCGUAGAGAUGUGGAGGAACACCUGUGGCGAAGGCGCCUUGCUGGCCGAGUUUCUGACGC